rnacentral:rRNA from 1 species
UUCCGGUUGAUCCUGCCGGACCCCACUGCUAUCGGGGUGGGACUAAAACAUGCAAGUCGAGCGCCUCCAAGCUAUGGUGAGGGCGCGGCAAACGGCUCAGUAACACGUGGCCAACCUACCCUUGGGACGGAGACAACCCCGGGAAACUGGGGCUAAUCCCCGAUAGGUGAGGAAUCCUGGAAUGGACCCUCGCCCAAAAGACGUUGAGUCCAUGCUAUUCAGCGUCGCCCAAGGAUGGAGCCGCGACCGAUCAGGUAGUUGGUGAGGCAACGGCUCACCAAGCCUAUAACCGGUACGGGCCGUGAGAGCGGGAGCCCGGAGAUGGGCACUGAGACAAGGGCCCAGGCCCUACGGGGCGCAGCAGUUGCGAAAACUCCGCAAUGCGCGAAAGCGUGACGGGGCUACCCCGAGUGCCGCCCGUUGAGGGCGGCUUUUCCACGGUGUAAGGAGCCGUGGGAAUAAGGAGAGGGCAAGACUGGUGUCAGCCGCCGCGGUAAUACCAGCUCUCCGAGUGGUGGGGACGAUUAUUGGGCUUAAAGCGUUCGUAGCCGGCUUAACAAGUCUUCCGUUAAAUCCAACGAUCUAAUCGUUGGGCUGCGGGAGAUACUGUUGGGCUAGGAGGCGGGAGAAGCCGACGGUAUUCUCGGGGUAGGGGUGAAAUCCUGUAAUCCCGGGAGGACCACCAGUGGCGAAGGCGGUCGGCUAGAACGCGCUCGACGGUGAGGGACGAAAGCUGGGGGAGCGAACCGGAUUAGAAACCCGGGUAGUCCCAGCUGUAAACGAUGCGGGCUAGGUGUUGGGGUGGCCACGAGCCACUUCAGUGCCGCAUGGAAAGCAAUUAAGCCCGCUGCCUGGGGAGUACGGUCGCAAGGCUGAACUUAAAAGGAAUUGGCGGGGAGCACACAGGCGUGAAGCUUGCGUUUA